AGAAUNUCAGCUUUGGGUGUUGAUGGUAGGGUAUAUUUGCCUUCUUCUUGA
rnacentral:tRNA from 1 species